GUGUGUGUGUGUGUGUGUGUGUGUGUGUGUGUGUGUGUGCGUGUGUGUGUGCGUGUGUGUGUGUGUGCGCGCGUGUGUGUGGUUGCGUGCGCGUGUGUGUGGUUGCGUGCGCGUGUGUGUGCAGUAUGUACAAUGCAUAGAUAUAGCCUAAGCUUCAUUUGGGUCUAUUCAAAUGAACUGAAUAGAUGGUUUGCGACAGGCACCUAUAACACACACUAAAAGCAUCUCCAAGUGUCAUUCAGAACUUAUUUAAUGCAUGCAUAAUAAAAUAAAUAAGAUACAGUGCUGGCCAGAACAUAAUCUUUUAACAACGGCCACAUCCAAUGAAACAAUAUGUUUAGCUGGCAGCAAACGUUGUAAGUCAAUGAAACCGAGACCUAUCAGCACCAUGACGUAAUUAAUGUUCACGACAUAAUUCCAGCAGCCGCAGUCGCGCAUACACGCGCAAGAUUUCACGCGCAAAAACCGUUACAACCGUUGCAGCGCGAGCACAGGGACUGAGAGGAACAGCGCACCUAUCUGAGGUAAAACCUAACAAUUUUACUAUUCACUUUAUAAAAAAUUGAAGAUAACAUUAACGUUAUGUAGCCUUAUGUUAAUAUUAAAGCGUGGGCUGCAUAUUUUGAGUGUUUUUGAAGAACAUAUCUAAGACCGGAUGUCUGGAAAUAAUGGGAAUCUUCAGAUAUGAAUCACAAACGUGAUGUAACCUAUUUUUGAUAUAGUACUGUAAAUACAUUAUUAAUAGUAUAUAAAUGUAUAUUUAUCUUUGCAAAUGAACUUUUAUGUGAUAUCAUUCUCCUCUAAACUGCAAUUAUUUUUCUAGGGACUGAAACAAAUAUGAGCACAGAAGUUAUUCAAUGGACUACUCAAGAUGUGACUGGUUGACUGGAAAAAGUUUCCACAAAUUUAUCCUAAUUUCCUAAUUAUUUCAAGGUUGAUCUCACAGGAAUGCCUACUCUUUUUAACUGUGUCAUAUGCAGCAAACAAACAUUUUCUAUAAACAGACAUAUUGGCCUUUAUCACCAAAAUAGCCCAAAAUUUGAAUUCACACGUGGAUUAAAUAGUUGUGGCAAAAUAAACAAAAUCUUCAGUUCCUAUAGAUUAGGUUAAAAUGUAUGUUUGCUGCAAUAUAUAAUUCAGCAUGCAAUUUUGUUAAAAUUAUCAUCUUCUACUCCUUGUUUUAGAGAAUGAAAUUGAUGGGGAUACGUUAAUUAACCUAACUGUGAAUAUGAGCUAAAUGUUUUCCUAAAAUAAAGGAUCAAGUUAAAUUCAUUAGACUACACAGAAACAAAUAAAGACUGAAAUGCCUACCAAGACUACACACAUCAGUCAUGAGUGUCCAACAAGUUACCAAUUAAACAAGGUGUGAUUAUCCCUUGUCACCAAAUACCAGUUCUUGAGAGACUGGUAAGAGAAUGGAACCACAAGAUUUCAUCAAAAGUCCAACAGAUAACCAGUGCAGAGGUAAAGCAUGUCAGACAAAGUGACACCUUAAUGGACAAUUAUAAUUUUAAAAUGCUUUGUGUUUUUUAUUUUAUAAAACUGAGGAAAACCAAGACAUGUACAGCAUAGAAAGAGUCUGAACAGGGGAAGAUGAUUACAGCAUUGGGGUGCACUUUGAAAAAGUGAAAACAAGAAUGCUUGAAAAAACACCAAAUAUUAAACUUUUUAGAGGACUGCAUGGCAUAGACAAUGACUGAGAGGACUAAAUCCCUAUCCAGCCCUUAAAGUCCCUUCAGUUCUUGCAUUUGAGGUCCAAAGCAUACUUGACACAGACAUUGAAAGAAACAUGCUGAAGAAUCUAGGCCUGGUGGCACAGAAAGUGAUUAAUGAGUGCCACAGAAGACAGGUUGGAGUGGAUAUCUGUAGCGAACUGGAUGAAGCAAAACAAGCCUACAUUGAUUUGGCACACAGAGGUCUCUCAGUGGCUGCUGCUGCUACCAUGUUGCUUCCAUUUCUUUUCAAGGAGAGCCCAAGAUUCCUUUAUGUCAUUAAUCAGGUGAGUGUAUGUGGCUAAGUUUAUCUUUUAAGAGUUUAAAUCUAUAUUAAUCAUUUUUCAACCCUAUCUUUUAAUAUCAACUUUUUAAAGCCGGUAUUGCAUUGUGACCAGUGGCGGCUGGUGACUGCUCUUCCGAGGGGCGUUAAUUAAUAAUAUGUGUUCGGAGUGUCAUUUGUGUUGCUUGUUAUGUCAAAAUAUGUGUUCAGCCCGUCAUGUAAACCAUGUGCAUUAUGCGUCUUGUCAAAAUAAGUGCCUGCUGCACAUGCAUCGAAAUGAUAUGAUAAAAAAGACACAUUCAAUACUCGCAAGACACUAACUUAAAAGUGCAGUGUGUACAUUUUAGCAGCAUCUAGUGGUGAUGUUGUGAAUUACAACCAACAGCUCAGUCCACUGCUCACCCCUCGCUUUUGAAACGCAUAGAGAAGCUACGGUAGCCGUCACCAGACAAACAUGUCAUCGUCGGAGACAACUUAAUAAAAAAAGUUUGUCCGUUAAGGGCUUCUGUAGAAACAUGGUGGCACAAAAUGGCGACUUCCAUGUAAGGGGACCCUCAUGUAUGUAAAUAAAAACGUCUCCUUCUAAGGUAAUAAAUACAUAACUGUUCAUUAUGAAAGGUCUUUAUACACCCCUGAUAAUAUAGUUUUGUAUAUUAUUUUGCAUUUCUGUCAAGAGAUCCUUCUAUAAAUUGCACACUGCACCUUUAACAGUAAACUCAUCAUUACACACUUUUAUCAUAAACCUCUUAGAUGCAUGGGCAGCAUGAACUUAUUUUGACAAGAUGCAUGAUGCACAUGGUUCACAUGACACGCCGAACACAUAUUUUGAAAGGACGAACCACACACAUGGCGAGCUUCGCAUCGUGCACCCUCAAUAGUCACCGGCCGCCACUGAUUGUGACAGGUAAAAAUUCCUAAAAAAGCA